rnacentral:rRNA from 1 species
CGACCUGCACGAAUGGCGUAAUGAUGGCCAGGCUGUCUCCACCCGAGACUCAGUGAAAUUGAACUCGCUGUGAAGAUGCAGUGUACCCGCGGCAAGACGGAAAGACCCCGUGAACCUUUACUAUAGCUUGACACUGAACAUUGAGCCUUGAUGUGUAGGAUAGGUGGGAGGCUUUGAAGUGUGGACGCCAGUCUGCAUGGAGCCGACCUUGAAAUACCACCCUUUAAUGUUUGAUGUUCUAACGUGGACCCGUAAUCCGGGUUGCGGACAGUGUCUGGUGGGUAGUUUGACUGGGGCGGUCUCCUCCUAAAGAGUAACGGAGGAGCACGAAGGUUGGCUAAUCCUGGUCGGACAUCAGGAGGUUAGUGCAAUGGCAUAAGCCAGCUUGACUGCGAGCGUGACGGCGCGAGCAGGUGCGAAAGCAGGUCAUAGUGAUCCGGUGGUUCUGAAUGGAAGGGCCAUCGCUCAACGGAUAAAAGGUACUCCGGGGAUAACAGGCUGAUACCGCCCAAGAGUUCAUAUCGACGGCGGUGUUUGGCACCUCGAUGUCGGCUCAUCACAUCCUGGGGCUGAAGUAGGUCCCAAGGGUAUGGCUGUUCGCCAUUUAAAGUGGUACGCGAGCUGGGUUUAGAACGUCGUGAGACAGUUCGGUCCCUAUCUGCCGUGGGCGCUGGAGAACUGAGGGGGGCUGCUCCUAGUACGAGAGGACCGGAGUGGACGCAUCACUGGUGUUCGGGUUGUCAUGCCAAUGGCACUGCCCGGUAGCUAAAUGCGGAAGAGAUAAGUGCUGAAAGCAUCUAAGCACGAAACUUGCCCCGA